rnacentral:rRNA from 1 species
UGGGGAAUUUUGGACAAUGGGCGAAAGCCUGAUCCAGCAAUGCCGCGUGUGUGAAGAAGGCCUUCGGGUUGUAAAGCACUUUUGUCCGGAAAGAAAUCCUUGGCUCUAAUACAGUCGGGGGAUGACGGUACCGGAAGAAUAAGCACCGGCUAACUACGUGCCAGCAGCCGCGGUAAUACGUAGGGUGCAAGCGUUAAUCGGAAUUACUGGGCGUAAAGCGUGCGCAGGCGGUUUGCUAAGACCGAUGUGAAAUCCCGGGCUCAACCUGGGAACUGCAUUGGUGACUGGCAGGCUAGAGUAUGGCAGAGGGGGGUAGAAUUCCACGUGUAGCAGUGAAAUGCGUAGAGAUGUGGAGGAAUACCGAUGGNGAAGGCAGCCCCCUGGGCCAAAUACUGACGCUCAUGCACGAAAAGCGUGGGGGAGCAAAACAGGAUUAGAUACCCUGGUAGUCCACGCCCUAAAACGAUGUCAACUAGGUUGUUGGGGG